rfam:Paenibacillus alvei DSM 29 PAV_9c, whole genome shotgun sequence.
AAUUACAACCGCAUACUUCUUCGUAUAACUUUGGAAAUAGGGUCCAAUCGUCUCUACCGAGCUGCCGUAAACAGCUUGACUACGAGGAUAAGAGCGCUUGUC